rnacentral:rRNA from 1 species
UAACGCGUGAGGAACCUGCCUUUCAGAGGGGGACAACAGUUGGAAACGACUGCUAAUACCGCAUGACACAUGAAUGGGGCAUCCCAUUGAUGUCAAAGAUUUAUCGCUGAAAGAUGGCCUCGCGUCCCAUUAGCUAGUAGGCGGGGUAACGGCCCACCUAGGCGACGAUGGGUAGCCGGACUGAGAGGUUGACCGGCCACAUUGGGACUGAGAUACGGCCCAG